CAAUCUACUGGGGUAAACUUCCUGGAUGAAAACCUGCUUCACUGAUAUAUAGGUGCAUCUACAUGCCACAUACUUUCUUCAGUCUAGAAGCAGAUUGAAGAAACACCUGUGUUUGUGACAAGUCAUUCCGACACCAGAGGGAAAAAACAAGAGAGCGUAUGGAACCUCUCAAUGUUUCUUAAAGCUUCUAUUCGGAUCUUGCCUACCUUGUACUUCUGAUUCAUCAUCAGUCCAAAGACAAUUCACAGCCAAGCCUAAUGCCCAUGGCAUAGGGAAGCACAGAGAGUCACAUACGGGCAGGGUCUGGCCUCCUUCCUCAGGUUUACCUCACGAUCCAAGAUGAUUGAAAGUCAUCACAUCAACGUAGCAAUUUGGAAAAUGGAAGAACAAAAACAGCAAAAAGUUUUAAUCUGGUAGAGUUAGCAAUUUUAAAGCAGAUGCUUUGGAAAUGUCACACAUAACCACCUGCAUCUCACUAGUAAAAAAAAAAAAAAAAAAAAAAAUUACUCCUAGUUUCAAGAAAAACUAAAAAAUUCAUCUUUAUUCCAAAAAUCAAUAAGGCCAGUUUAUGAAUUUUUAGUAGUAAAUUAGCAGCCACCGACACAGAGGACAUGUGAGAUAGAAUUACAAAACUGAAGUGUUAAAACUUUGAAUAAGAAUCACUUGAACUCUGGAUUCCUUUGUUAUUUUGUGUAGCACAGAAACUGUGCUUUCUCCACGAUGCUUUCUCCACUGUGCUUUCUCCACGAUGAUAGAGCUUGGAAUGUUUAUUCUACAAAGAUUCUGAAAAUCAGAUUUUCUACAACAUGGACACCAAUCAGACAUGAGAACUCCUGCACACUGACACAAGCAGCAGGAUUGAAUGAAAGCCUACAAAUAGAACACUGGGGUGGGAGGAGUGAAGAACUAAAGAGAAUGUAGACACAGCUGACAUACUGAGAGAUCUAUGAGAAAAAGCUCUGUGCUUCAUGUCCCAGUUUUGAAUUCCAAGAGGAGGAGGACAUUAUACUGGUCCACUACCGUGAUGGAAUCAUGCUCAUGGGAACCUCGAAGAAGGAAAUGACUUAUAUUUGGUAGAGAUCCUAGUAAGAUGCAUUUGCUAGAGAUGGAAAACUGUUCUUGGCUUGCUAUCAGACACUAGCGGAGACCAUA